rnacentral:antisense_RNA from 1 species
UUCCCUGCAGCUCUCAUCCCCCGCUCAUCCAAGCCUCCCUCCUUCCAGAUGAACAGGAACAGGUUACAGCUGACCCGGUUUCACUCCCAGCUUCAGAAGAUGAAUCACGAUAUUUAUUGAGUGCCUACUAUGUGCAGUGUCACUCUGGAAGCUGGGAACACAGUGGGACUGGCAAGCCACCCCCAGUCCUCAUGAGGUUAACUAGCAAGACAGCUAGUUUGCAGGGGCUGGAGGGACAUCUUCAUGAAGGAAUACAGGGGCAGUCACAGGAGAAAGGAGCACCAAGGGACACGGGCAUGUGGCUGACACAGUCUUCUGGAGAGCCCAGGAUGGCAUCAGGGGGAAACCUGGCCUGAGACGGUGCCCUGAUGGACAAGGACAGGAAUACAGUCAUACCUCCUGCCUCCUUGACCAAUGACCAGGAUGAGAAGCCAACAGAUGAUGAAUAUGAAUUAAAGUUGGACAACUAGCAAGUUUAAAACUUGGACUGGGACCUAGAUCUUCCGAUUCCUACAGCUAGCCUCCCUUUCCAUCUUCUCUGUGGUCAUCACUAAUGCAGUUUUUGUCCGUCUUGUCCAGAAG